AUUUCUAUAUCAACUCUCUAGCAGUAAAUAUGGCGAAAGAAAAUGCCCACCCUCCCAAACUGGCAGGUAUUCCCAUCCCGGUGCUUCUGUAUGCGGACGACGCAGUCCUACUCUCCUUUUCCUGCAUUGGCCUGAGGAAGCUUUUGAGAUCACUUGCUGACUAUUGUCAAGCGGAACAACUAUCAAUAAAUUACAGCAAAUCUAAAAUUAUGGUGUUUUCAAAAAAAAGAAGGAAACACAAAUGGAGAAUUAAUGGUCAACCUAUUGACCAGGUAGCAACUUUCAAAUACCUGGGAAUAACUUUUCAGGAAAGGGUCUCGUGGCAUCAACAGAUGAAAAACGCCAUUGCCAACGCAGGAAGGGCUAAUAAAGCCCUUACAAGAUUUUUUCACGGGAAAGGGGGUAAAUACGUUCCGGCGGCCUCCCAGGUUUUUGCUGCAAAAAUACUCCCACAACUUACUUAUGGAUCCCAGGUUUGCAGUUUUAAAAAUUUUGCGCCUAUGGAGGCAUUUCAAACAAAAUUCUAUCGGUGUUUAUUGGGGAUCCCCCCCUGUGUAUCUAAUAUAGCUGUCCGCUUAGAAGUUGGACAACCACCCGUUAAUGCGCGGCUGUGGAUUCUAAAGAUACACUACUGGUUAAAACUUAUUUUUCCCCCGGCCGGUUUGGCUCCUUUAACACUCUUAGACACCUUUCAUUCCACCUGGAAAGCUUCCCUGUUUGAAAAGAUAAGAAGCUUGGGAUUCUCCCCGCAGAUCUUGAUAGCGGCAGGAUAUGAGAGAGCCAGAAGUCAAGUGCUCCAACGCAUUAGGGACAUAGAGCUGCAAUGUCAUAUGGGCAAAAUGGAUAAACAUGCCAUAAUUAGAGACUUUGGGAGAGGGUUCUCACCCGCAAAUUAUUUGGCUGAUUUACAAAUACCUAAGUACAGACACUCCUUUACCCUGGCCAGAUUUAACGUUCUGCCCUCUGCCCUGCUGCUAGGCAGAUAUGAGGGCAAACCAUAUGAGUCACGUGUUUGCCCGUGUGGCUCAUCGGAAGUGGAAACAAGUCUGCAUGUAUUGCUGCACUGUAGUUACUAUGAGGAUCUACGCUUGACCUUUAUUGCCCCAGUUCUACAAAAGCUUAAAAAUGAACCAGAACUCCAACGUAUGAGAGCCUUGGUAGAAGAUAAGGUUUCUGAAAUUACGAUCAAUGUGGCCAAAUUUUGUGUAGCCGCUAUUAGGCGCAGGAAACAAGAGCUUUCCAAUGUCAUUACGCAGGCGAAGGCAAAUACUUAAUUUUUUAUUUAUGCUGUCUAAUUUUAAAUUGCAGUUAUGUAUUGAAAUUGUCCUUUGUUUUUUCCGGUGUUAUGCUUCGCUGACUAGCUGUACGAGUUAAUCUGGUCUGUGACCGUUUAAUAAAUUUGAUUUGAUUUGA